rnacentral:rRNA from 1 species
AGCGAACGCUGGCGGCAGGCCUAACACAUGCAAGUCGAACGAACCUUUCGGGGUUAGUGGCGGACGGGUGAGUAACACGUGGGAACGUGCCUUUAGGUUCGGAAUAACUCAGGGAAACUUGUGCUAAUACCGAAUGUGCCCUUCGGGGGAAAGAUUAAUCGCCUUUAGAGCGGCCCGCGUCUGAUUAGCUAGUUGGUUGAGGUAAUGGCUCACCAAGGCGACGAUCAGUAGCUGGUCUGAGAGGAUGAUCAGCCACAUUAGGACUGAGACACGGCCCAAACUCCUACGGGAGGCAGCAGUGGGGAAUCUUGCGCAAUGGGCGAAAGCCUGACGCAGCCAUGCCGCGUGAAUGAUGAAGGUCUUAGGAUUGUAAAAUUCUUUCACCGGGGACGAUAAUGACGGUACCCGGAGAAGAAGCCCCGGCUAACUUCGUG